rnacentral:ncRNA from 1 species
CACCGUGAGGUGGGGUCUGAAGGAAGCCGGAGUGUAAACUUGCGAGCUGACGAACAGAAACGUCAUAUAAGGCUGAGUCCAUAGGUAAAGCAGCACACAACAUGUCGACGCCCAAGGAACAAGGGGAUACGGUAAAUGGCGCGGCUACGCAAGGGAGGUUC